rnacentral:misc_RNA from 1 species
UACGGAGGGGACUAGCGUCGUUCGGAUUUACUGGGCGUAAAGCGUGCGUAGGCGGCUUUUUAAGUCGGAUGUGAAAUCCCCGAGCUUAACUUGGGAAUUGCAUUCGAUACUGGGAAGCUAGAGUAUGGGAGAGGAUGGUAGAAUUCCAGGUGUAGCGGUGAAAUGCGUAGAGAUCUGGAGGAAUACCGAUGGCGAAGGCAGCCAUCUGGCCUAAUACUGACGCUGAGGUACGAAAGCGUGGGUAGCGAACAGG